UGCAGUCGAGCGGAUGACGGGAGCUUGCUCCUUGAUUCAGCGGCGGACGGGUGAGUAAUGCCUAGGAAUCUGCCUGGUAGUGGGGGACAACGUUUCGAAAGGAACGCUAAUACCGCAUACGUCCUACGGGAGAAAGCAGGGGACCUUCGGGCCUUGCGCUAUCAGAUGAGCCUAGGUCGGAUUAGCUAGUUGGUGGGGUAAUGGCUCACCAAGGCGACGAUCCGUAACUGGUCUGAGAGGAUGAUCAGUCACACUGGAACUGAGACACGGUCCAGACUCCUACGGGAGGCAGCAGUGGGGAAUAUUGGACAAUGGGCGAAAGCCUGAUCCAGCCAUGCCGCGUGUGUGAAGAAGGUCUUCGGAUUGUAAAGCACUUUAAGUUGGGAGGAAGGGCAGUAAGCUAAUACCUUGCUGUUUUGACGUUACCGACAGAAUAAGCACCGGCUAACUCUGUGCCAGCAGCCGCGGUAAUACAGAGGGUGCAAGCGUUAAUCGGAAUUACUGGGCGUAAAGCGCGCGUAGGUGGUUCGUUAAGUUGGAUGUGAAAGCCCCGGGCUCAACCUGGGAACUGCAUCCAAAACUGGCGAGCUAGAGUACG
rnacentral:rRNA from 1 species